rnacentral:miRNA from 1 species
UGGCAACAAUGUGUUGACUGUAAUGGAACCUAUUUUGAUUAAUAAUGAUGCGCUGGAGCCUAGUUAUAAUGAUUUAAAAUCCAUGGUCCCAAACUGCAAUUACUUUUGCACCAAC